AACGAACGCUGGCGGCAGGCCUAACACAUGCAAGUCGAGCGAAGUCUUCGGACUUAGCGGCGGACGGGUGAGUAACGCGUGGGAACGUGCCCUUUGGUUCGGAAUAGCCCCGGGAAACUGGGAGUAAUACCGGAUGAGCUCUACGGAGGAAAGAUUUAUCGCCAAAGGAUCGGCCCGCGUUGGAUUAGGUAGUUGGUGGGGUAAUGGCCUACCAAGCCGACGAUCCAUAGCUGGUUUGAGAGGAUGAUCAGCCACACUGGGACUGAGACACGGCCCAGACUCCUACGGGAGGCAGCAGUGGGGAAUCUUAGACAAUGGGGGAAACCCUGAUCUAGCCAUGCCGCGUGAUCGAUGAAGGCCUUAGGGUUGUAAAGAUCUUUCAGUGGGGAAGAUAAUGACUGUACCCACAGAAGAAGCCCCGGCUAACUCCGUUACAGCCGCCGCGGUAAUAC
rnacentral:rRNA from 1 species